GAUGAUGAAGAGGGAAAUAAUUGACUCUUUUUGAGCUAAUUGGUUUUUAAUUUCAUAUUUUGAUGUUUCGAACAAUUUAAAUUACAUUUAAAGUGUGGUGUGAUCUUUUUUAUGUUUAAUUAUUUGUUUUAACAAUAUAACUAUAUUAUUUGAUAUAUAUAAUUAUAUUUAAAAAAAAAUUAUAGGACAGUACCCGUACCUUAGUUUUUCUAAAAAU
rnacentral:lncRNA from 1 species